AACGCACCUUGCACCCCUUGGUAUUCCGAGGGGUACGCCUGUUUGAGUGUCGUGAAUUCCUCCACUCGAUCGCUUCGUUGCGCGUCGGGCUGGGACGUUGGGGGUGUCUUGCGGGUCCCUUUUGUGGUCCGCUCCCCUUGAAUGCAUUAGUGAGGUUCGGCGCUUGGCCUCGACGUGAUAAGUCUAUCUACGUCGUGUCCGGCGCUUUGUUUGUCCUGGUCAGUCCAGGGAAAACGGGACUUUGCUUCCAACCGUCUUCGGACAACCGUGCGCCUUUGUGCGUGCACCUUCGAACUCGACCUCAGAUCAGGUGGGACUACCCGCUGAACUUAA
rnacentral:misc_RNA from 1 species